GUGGGGAAUAUUGGACAAUGGGCGCAAGCCUGAUCCAGCCAUGCCGCGUGUGUGAAGAAGGCCUUCGGGUUGUAAAGCACUUUUGUCCGGGAAGAAAUCUUCCAGGUUAAUACCCUGGGAGGCUGACGGUACCGGAAGAAUAAGCACCGGCUAACUUCGUGCCAGCAGCCGCGGUAAUACGAAGGGUGCAAGCGUUACUCGGAAUUACUGGGCGUAAAGCGUGCGUAGGUGGUUCGUUAAGUCUGCCGUGAAAGCCCCGGGCUCAACCUGGGAAUGGCGGUGGAUACAGGCGGGCUAGAGUGCGGUAGAGGGUGGUGGAAUUCCCGGUGUAGCAGUGAAAUGCGUAGAGAUCGGGAGGAACAUCUGUGGCGAAGGCGGCCACCUGGACCAGCACUGACACUGAGGCACGAAAGCGUGGGGAGCAAACAGGAUUAGAUACCCGGGUAGUCC
rnacentral:rRNA from 1 species